UACGUAGGAUGCAAGCGUUGUCCGGAAUUAUUGGGCGUAAAGCGAACGUAGGCGGUUUCUUAAGAUUGGUCUUAAAGACCGGGGCUCAACCCCGGGAAUGGAUCGAUAACUGGGAGACUGGAGGACGUCAGAGGAAAGUGGAAUUCCGAGUGUAGCGGUGAAAUGCGUAGAUAUUCGGAGGAACACCAGUGGCGAAAGCGACUUCUGGGACGUUCCUGACGCUGAGGUUCGAAAGCUCGGGGAGCAAACAGG
rnacentral:rRNA from 1 species